CACUCCGCACCACACCAUGCAAAAUGUAAACACAACUGUCUCAGCUCACGAUGAGGCGAAGAAGAAACAAAACUUUCAUUUGGUCGGAACGUUCGGAAUCAUUUCUGGAUCUUUUAAAAAAAUAUGUGUCAAUUAACAAUUAACGACCAAAAGGAAAACGGCCGCAGCUCCCGCGGAAAGCAUUAAAUUUAUUUAUCAAUCCGGGCCACGAUUAUACAAACCCUUAUCAAACCGCGGUUGAUGUGUAAUCCGAAGCUCGGAUGAAAUCGCUGAUACUGAGAUGCAGCACCAUUUGUUUAAGUUCCGAUCAACUACUGCUCAAAAAUCCUCGUGCUCCAUUCUCCUAUGUGUUCCUGUAGAUCUUGUUUAGUUCUUCCGAGUUUUUUCUUGCAGUCGCAUCCAAACAUUCAAAUGACCCCCGGCGCACAAAACUCCCAAUAGGCUGGAGGAAGUGGACAAAUUUCUCGCUGACCACAGUUUCAUUGAGAUAUAGAGGCCGAUUUGUCGAUGUUUGACGCUUUCGGUGAAGCUCCGGCUGGGAAUAACGUCCUCGCUCAGCGCUGGUACCGUCACAUUGCACCGUUCAGCAGCCAGGAGCGUAGAAUUUGAGGAAGACAGGCCACAUAUUGCCGGUGGAAAACACACGGUAUUCGUUGCCACAGACGAUGAUGACAAUGUCGAUCUGUUACGAUCGAAGGACGAAGAAAAGCGCAGAGGCAGCGAAACUGAUGGAGGAAUGUGUGUCCGCUUACAACGCCUAAAAGUCCAAGAAACCGGUCCUCAUCGCCAAAAGCUUGGUCGACGAGACCGACACGAUGGUGAUGGAAAAGCCGGUUCGAACCAUCGAUAUGGACGGUUUGUUUUGGAGCUCCUCGAAAAAGUUGCAGCUUUGCUGCAUCAUCGGGACAAAAAGCUGUUUGCGUGAACGUUUCUGUACGUCUCAUAUGUUGACUACAAUAGGCACUUGGAACAAAAUCACGAAAUCUGAAUGUACUGAAUUCUGAAAGCGAAAGCCAUUUAAAAAUAACAUCCGGCACAGAAAAAUUUUUCAAUGAUUAUUCGGCUGGCGACCACAUCCGUUGGCUUAGAAAAGCGUAGUUGUAGCGAAAGAAAAAACGACGAAGGAACAAACUAAGACUCAAAGCUUAACAAUAUGAGAAACUCACGAA